rnacentral:tRNA from 1 species
GGAGAGAUGUCCGAGAGGUCGAAGGAGCCUGACUCGAAAUCAGGUGUAUGGGCAACCGUACCAAGGGUUCGAAUCCCUUUCUCUCCG